rnacentral:lncRNA from 1 species
AGAACCCUUCGAGAGCACAAAGGCGAUGCUGUAGCUGCGGUUCGAUUCUUGCUGCAGUAAGACGAGAGCUACCAGCAUUCAGAUGAUUUCCUCCAAUCCGCACAACAUGCGAAUCAGCUGUACUUUUCUGUACCAAUCCUGGAAUUUUCUGUCACAGUAAAAUGAUCAUACUUGGCAUAAAUGUAGAACCUCUCCUGCCAUGAUGUUUGCAAACUUGUUUCUAUUCUCCUAUAAAAGCCUGAGGUUUGAAGUUCGUUUGUCUAUCCAAAAUUUUCAUGUACCUGCAUUAUGUCUUGUUCUACCGGAGUCCGGAGGUUGUAACCUGAAAACACGA